ensembl:snoRNA
UGGCAGGCCGUUCAGCGAGGCUGAGUGUGAAGUGACUCUGUCCUUUCCUGUUGUGUCUGCUAGAUGGACAUGAGGUGGUUUGAGGCCUGCUGUUUACCUUCUGCAGUAUGGUUAUAGAAACCUCAGACAAUU